GUCUUCGUGAAUAUCCACGUCUUCCUGAAAAUCCAAGUCUUCCCAGAAAUCCAUGUCCUUCCAAAAAUCCAUGUCUUCCUGAAAAUCUAUGCCUUCCAUAAAUCUACAUCUUCCUGAAAAUCCACAUCUUCCUGAAAAUCUACGCCUUCCACAAAUCUACAUCUUCCUGAAAAUCCACAUCUUCCCAAAAUCCAUGUCUUCGGAAAAAAUCCAUGUCUUCCAAGGAGUACAUGUGUCUUCCUUCACCUCCAAGUCUUCCAGCAUCUCCAGGGCUUCCAGCAUCUGCCUGUCUUCCAACAUCUCCACAUCUUCCAGCAUCUUUAUGUCUUCCAACAACUGCGCAGUGUCUCCAGUGUAUCGGCGUUUUGACAUUCAGGUUUUCUGGUGUCUGCCGUAUCCAGGUAUUGAAAAUUGUUUCAUAGUUUAUUUUUUCCCAGUAUUUCCCUAGUUUUGGGAUCUUUCAAAUCCAGUCUUUUCCAUCUAUGCCUUUUUGGAGUGCAGAUAUUUUAAGACUAACCUGUCAACUAUUUCUGCUUUUAGUAGAAUUAGUUUCAAAAUAUUUAAUAGCACAUUACCUCUUACAGAAAAGGUUUUGUGGGCCAACAGUAGUAGUAUUUGUGAUUGUUUGAUAUUGAGAAAUGUAUAUUCCUUAACUUUUAGGGAUUAUAUUAAGAAAAAAGGAUAAAAUUGAUGCAGUACUUUUAUAAUUUUGUUAAUGAUUAUAUUUUGGUAGUCAGUUAUGCUCAAGCACAAAUG
rnacentral:lncRNA from 1 species